rnacentral:rRNA from 1 species
GAUGAACGCUGGCGGCGUGCCUAAUACAUGCGAGUCGAGCGAACAGACGAGGAGCUUGCUCCUCUGACGUUAGCGGCGGACGGGUGAGUAACACGUGGAUAACCUACCUAUAAGACUGGGAUAACUUCGGGAAACCGGAGCUAAUACCGGAUAAUAUAUUGAACCGCAUGGUUCAAUAGUGAAAGACGGUGUUGCUGUCACUUAUAGAUGGAUCCGCGCCGCAUUAGCUAGUUGGUAAGGUAACGGCUUACCAAGGCAACGAUGCGUAGCCGACCUGAGAGGGUGAUCGGCCACACUGGAACUGAGACACGGUCCAGACUCCUACGGGAGGCAGCAGUAGGGAAUCUUCCGCAAUGGGCGAAAGCCUGACGGAGCAACGCCGCGUGAGUGAUGAAGGUCUUCGGAUCGUAAAACUCUGUUAUUAGGGAAGAACAAAUGUGUAAGUAACUAUGCACGUCUUGACGGUACCUAAUCAGAAAGCCACGGCUAACUACGUG